rnacentral:rRNA from 1 species
AACGAACGCUGGCGGCAUGCCUAACACAUGCAAGUCGAACGAGACCUUCGGGUCUAUUAGCGCACGUGUGCUUAACGCGUGGGAACCUCCCCUUAGGUUCCGAAUAACUCCCCUAUAUGGGUACUAAUACCCGUAAAUGUCCUCGGACCAACGAGUUAUGGCCUUUGGAUGGGCACGCAUUUGAUUAGCUAGUUGGUAGUGUAAAAGCAUACCAAGGUGACGUUCCUUAGCUGGUCUGUGAGGAUGAUCAGCUACACUGGGACUGAGACACGGCCCAGACUACUACGGAAGGCAGCAGUGGGGAAUACUAGACAAGGGGUGAAAGGCUGAACGAGCAAGGCCGCGUGAGUGAUGCAGGCCUUAGGGUUGUAACGCACUUUUACACGGGAUGAUAAUGACAGUAACGGGAGAAUAAGCUCCGGCUAACUCCGUG